UGAGGUAGUAGGUUGUAUGGUUCGGUAUUACACAGCCGCGUUGCCGGAUAGACUCUCGAAAAAUAUGGAAAUCAACCGGACGAAAUCAAAAUCUUUUUGGUUUUCCGUUCGGUUCCGUUUUUUGGACAGAGGACAAAUGGCGCGCGCCCCGGUGGAACUGUACAACUUGCUAACUUUCC
rnacentral:pre_miRNA from 1 species